AGUGCUGGUUUCACGAGAGAAAACAGAGAAAAGCGAUGAUAGUUGUACAAAACAUGUAUAGACUGGAUGUAGUCCAACUUGGGAGGAGUUUUCUCAGGUUGCGUCUCACAAACCAUUUUCGGCUAGAAACUAGGAAGACCAUAUGUUUCCACUGCAAAUCUGUAUGCCACCACAAACUGCAACCAGUAUGGUCUUUACGGAUAGAGGUAAUUACCAUAAAACCAUCAUAUUUAGGGCCUGGGUUGUAAAAACUAGAAUUGGCUGCGUUAAGCGUGUUGCCUCUUGGCAGGGACGCCUUCGUGUUUAUAUAGACAUGAGGAUUACAAGAUAUGGCGCAGGUAGUUAGUUCGGGUAUCAACUUGUCCUCUACUCCAAGCUACAUACAAGAUAGAGAUUAUCCUAGCUAACAACCUGCGCCUCAAUACGUUACAUAAGUUACAUUGUCACGAUACAACUACGGCCCUACUUUUUUAACAUCCUCCCUCAAUCUUCACAUGUCAAGGUUCAGAUUGCGUUUGAAGGCCUGUAGUUGCUUCACUUGUAACGGUUUUGUGAACCCAUCCGCGACUUGAUCUCCUGUUGGAAUGAACUGAAUAUCUAGUAACUUUUGUGUAACUCUUUUUCGUACAAAAUGAUAAUCAAUCUCUAUGUGUUUCGUUCUUGCAUGAAACACUGGAUCUGCAGACAAAUAUGUUGCUCCAAGAUUGUCACACCAUAAGCAUGACACACCUGUUCUUCCAAUGCCAAGUUCAUCAAGCAGAGUUUCAAUCCACAUUACCUCAGCCGUUGCAUUUGCCAAAGAUUUAUAUUCUGCUUCAGUGCUGGAGCGUGACACCGUAGCCUGUUUCUUUGCACUCCAAGAUAUAAGGUUUGACCCAAGAAAGAUUGCAAAUCCUCCUGUAGAUCUUCUGUCAUCAGGGCAUCCAACCCAGUCUGCAUCAGAAAAUGCACUCACUGUGGUUGAAGGAGACUUACACAAUUUUAGCCCUGUGUUUGCACUCCCUUGAAGAUACCUCAAUAUCCUCUUUACAGCUGUCCAAUGUACAGAAGUAGGAGCAUGUAAAAAUUGACAGACUUUAUUAACAACAAAGAAUAUAUCAGGUCUUGUUAGUGUCAAGUACUGAAGAGCACCAACUAUACUUCUGUACUUGGUUCCUUCUUCUGGGCUUAGUAAUUCUCCCUCAUAUAAUGACAACUUGUCGGUGAUAGACAUAGGUGUACUGGAGGGUUUGCAAUCCUUCAUACCUACUCGUUUGAUUACAUCUUUGGCAUAUUUUUCCUGAGUUAGCAUAAUACCUUCAUGCAACUUUUUUACCUCAAUACCUAGGAAGUAAUGUAACUCUCCUAGAUCUUUAAGAGCAAACUCAUUUUUCAGAUUUGACAGCAAUGCUGAGGUAGCCUCCUGUGAAGAGCUGGCAACAAUUAUGUCAUCAACAUAAAUUAACAUAAAUAUAAUCACCUUCCCUUUCUUGAAGAAGAAAAGAGAAGUGUCACCCCUUGAAGGCUUGAAACCAAGUUGCUGAAGUUUUGCACUCAAUCUUGAAUACCAAGCUCUAGGUGCCUGCUUUAGACCAUAUAAGGCCUUGUCCAAUUUGCACACAUGAUGUGGCUUUGAACUAUUUUCAAACCCAGGUGGUUGUUUCAUAUAAACCUCCUCCUCGAGAACGCCAUGUAAGAACGCAUUCUGAACAUCCAACUGGCGAAGACUCCAUCCCCUGGAGACAGCAAUAGACAGAACAAGUCUAAUAGUAGCAGCUUUAACUACUGGACUAAAAGUAUCCAAAUAAUCAAUGCCAUAUCGUUGUUUAAAGCCUUUAGCUACUAGUCUAGCCUUAUAUCUAUCUAUCGUGCCAUCAGGUCUCUUUUUAACUUUAUACACCCAUUUACAAUCAAUAAUAUUCCUCCCUCGCUUAGGAGGAACCAAACGCCAAGUUUGGUUUUUCAUAAGUGCAUGAUACUCUACAUUCAUGGCAUUUUUCCAAUUAUCAUUUCCUAGAGCUUCGGUCAAAGUUUGGGGCUCACCAGUAGCAGCAAAAUUUGCAAAUUUGAAGUUCUUAUCAUACCUUAGUGUCCCAUCUUUGUAAACUGUGGGUUUUAAGAUACCUCGUUGUGCUCGUGUAGUCAUCCGAGGAGGUGUACUUGAGCGUACAGACUCGGUAGCCACAGAGGAUCCCGAUCCCGCCACAGCAGAAUCAGCCUCGCCUGUCGCGCGUUCGGAUGAUGUUGGAUCACGUGCCGAUCGGGCAGGCGAAUCUGGCCUCGGCAAGUCAGCUGGCGCCACGGGACUGUAGGCCAGUGCGCAGUCGCGCCCGUCAUCAUUGCGCCGUGCAGCGGGGGACACGCGACCAGGCUCAGGGCCACCCGCCUCAUGACAGGUGGGACGCGGAGACAGAGAGCGGUCCAGCCCACCCGACCGGCCUGGAGACUCGUGCCAGGCGGCGCCCGAGGAGUGGGCGUCCCCGAAUCCUAGCGAGGGCGGCGUCAGAGGAUCUGCCUGGGGAUCCGUUCCCGUGUCAGCGCGACCAGGCAAAUCUGCCUCGUGUCCGCUGCCAGGUGCUUCCUGUUGCUGCUGCAUAAAAUCACAAGCAUUUGGAGUGCAGUUUUUUUCACCGCCAUCUCCGUCAGUAGUAGGGCUAUGUAACAAAUGAUCAUCAGCAUAAUUCUCGUCCCCAUGAUCGGUAGGAUUGAGUAACUCCGGAUUCAAAAGAAGGAUUUCUGACCGAAGCCUUGCACCAGCAUUUGGGUGUAGUGUAGAGAAGGGAAAUAUGUUUUCAUCAAAAAUAACAUCCCUGGAAAUAUACACUCGCCCUGUUGCAAUAUCAAGGCAUUUAAAACCUUUGUGGAGAUUGCUAUAACCAAAAAACGUACAUUGUUUGGAUCAGAAUUGAAGUUUGUGCUUGUUAUAGGGUCGGAGAUUAGGCCAACAAGCACACCCAAAAAUUCUAAGUGAUGAAUAAUUUGGUUUUUCAUGGAACAAUCUCUCAAGAGGGGUUUCAAACUUGAUAACUUUGCUAGGCAGGCGAUUAAUCAAGUAGGUGGCAGCAAUAAACUGAAGGGAAUAUGCCCUAAAGGCAAUAAUAAAGUUAUUAUUUAUUUCCUUAUUUCAUGAUAAAUGUUUAUUAUUCAUGCUAGAAUUGUAUUAACCGGAAACAUAAUACAUGUGUGAAUAUAUAGACAAACAGAGUGUCACUAGUAUGCCUCUACUUGACUAGCUUGUUAAUCAAAGAUGGUUAUGUUUCCUAAGCAUGGACAAAGAGUUGUUAUUUGAUUAACGGGAUCACAUCAUUAGCUGAAUGAUCUGAUUGACAUGACCCAUUCAAUUAGCUUAGCACCCGAUCGUUUAGUAUGUUGCUAUUGCUUUCUUCAUGACUUAUACAUGUUCCUAUGACUAUGAGAUUAUGCAACUCCCGUUUACCGGAGGAACACUUUGUGUGCUACCAAACGUCACAACGUAACUGGGUGAUUAUAAAGGUGCUCUACAGGUGUCUCCGAAGGUACUUGUUGGGUUGGCAUAUUUCGAGAUUAGGAUUUGUCACUCCGAAUGUCGGAGAGGUAUCUCUGAGCCCUCUCGGUAAUGCACAUCACAUAAGCCUUGCAAGCAAUGCAACUAAUGAGUUAGUUGCGAGAUGAUGUAUUACGGAACGAGUAAAGAGACUUACCGGUAACGAGAUUGAACUAGGUAUUGGAUACCGACGAUCGAAUCUUGGGCAAGUAACAUACCGAUGACAAAGGGAACAACGUAUGUUGUUAUGCGGUCUGACCGAUAAAGAUCUUCGUAGAAUAUGUAGGAACCGAUAUGGGCAUCCAGGUCCCGCUAUUGGUUAUUGACCGGAGACGUGUCUCGGUCAUGUCUACAUUGUUCUCGAACCGUAGGGUCCGCACGCUUAAGGUUUCGAUGACAGUUAUAUUGUGAGUUUAUGAGUUUUGAUGUACCAAAGGAGUUCGGAGUCCCGGAUGAGAUCGGGGACAUGACGAGGAGUCUCGAAAUGGUCGAGACGUAAAGAUCGAUAUAUUGGACGACUAUGUUCGGAGUUCGGAAAGGUUCCGAGUGAUUCAGGUAUUUUUCAGAGUACCGGAGAGUUACGGGAAUUCGCCGGGGAGAAGUAUUGGGCCUUAUUGGGCCAUACGGGAAAGAGAGAGGGGCUGCCUAGGGCGGGCCGCGCGCCCCCCAAUGGCCUAGUCCGAAUUGGACUAGGGGGAGGGGCCGCACCCCCUCCUUCCUUCCCUUCUCUCUUCCCCUUCCUUGUCUCCUACUCCUACUACAUGGAAGGGUUCCUAGUUGGACUAGGAAAGGGGGAAUCCUACUCCCGGUGGGAGUAGGACUCCCCUAGGGCGCGCCAUAGAGAGGGUCGGCCCUCCCCUCCUCCACUCCUUUAUAUACGGGGGCAGGGGGCACCCCAUGGACACACAAGCUGAUCUUCGUGAUCGUUCCUUAGCCGUGUGCGGUGCCCCCCUCCAUGAUAUUACACCUCGGUCAUAUUAUAGCGGUGCUUAGGCGAAGCCCUGCGACAGUUGAACAUCAAGAUCGUCACCACGCCGUCGUGCUGACGGAACUCCUCCCCGAAGCUUUGCUGGAUCGGAGCUCGGGGUGCGUCAUCGAGCUGUACGUGCGUCAAGAACUCGAAGGUGCCGGAGUAACGGUGCUUGGAUCGGUUGGACCGGGAAGACGUACGAUUACUUCCUCUGUUGCGUCAACGCUUCCGCUUCGGUCUACGAGGGUACGUAGACAACACUCUCUCCUCUCGUUGCUAUGCAUCACCAUGAUCUUGUGUGUGCGUAGGAAUUUUUUUGAAAUUACUACGUUCCCCAACAGUGGCAUCCGAGCCUAGGUUUUAUGGUUUGAUGUUAUAUGCACGAGUAGAACACAAGUGAGUUGUGGGCGAUACAAGUCAUACUGCUUACCAGCAUGUCAUACUUUGGUUCGGCGGUAUUGUUGGAUGAAGCGGCCCGGACCGACAUUACGCGUACGCUUACGCGAGACUGGUUUUACCGCCGUGCUUUGCACACUGGUGACUGGCGGGUGCCAGUUUCUCCAACUUUAGUUGAACCGAGUGUGGCUACGCCCGGUCCUUGCGAAGGUUAAAACAACACUAACUUGACGAAGUAUCGUUGUGGUUUUGAUGUGUAGGUAAGAACGGUUCUUACUAAGCCCGUAGCAGCCACGUAAAAACUUGCAACAACAAAGUAGAGGACGUCUAACUUGUUUUUGCAGGGCAUGUUGUGAUGUGAUAUGGCCAAGACAUGAUGCUAUAUUUUAUUGUAUGAGAUGAUCAUGUUUUGUAACCGAAGUUAUCGGCAACUGGCAGGAGCCAUAUGGUUGUCGCUUUAUUGUAUGAAAUGCAAACGCCCUGUAAUUGCUUUACUUUAUCACUAAGCGGUAGCGAUAAUCGUAGAAGCAAUAGAUGGCGUAAACGACAACGAUGCUACGAUGGAGAUCAAGGUGUCGCGCCGGUGACGAUGGUGAUCAUGAUGGUGCUUCGGAGAUGGAGAUCACAAGCACAAGAUGAUGAUGGCCAUAUCAUAUCACUUAUAUUGAUUGCAUGUGAUGUUUAUCCUUUAUGCAUCUUAUCUUGCUUUGAUUGAUGGUAGCAUUUUAAGAUGAUCUCUCACUAAAAAUUAUCAAGAAGUGUUCUCCCUGAGUAUGCACCGUUGCCAAAGUUCGUCGUGCCCAGACACCACGUGAUGAUCGGGUGUGAUAAGCUCUACGUCCAUCUACAACGGGUGCAAGCCAGUUUUGCACACGCAGAAUACUCAGGUUAAACUUGACGAGCCUAGCAUAUGCAGAUAUGGCCUCGGAACACGGAGACCGAAAGGUCGAGCGUGAAUCAUAUAGUAGAUAUGAUCAACAUAAGAUGUUCACCGUUGAAAACUACUCCAUCUCACGUGAUGAUCGGUUAUGGUUUAGUUGAUUUGGAUCACGUGAUCACUUAGAUGACUAGAGAGAUGUCUGUCUAAGUGGGAGUUCUUAAGUAAUAUGAUUAAUUGAACUUUAAUUUAUCAUGAACUUAGUCCUGGUAAUAUUUUGCAAAUUAUGUUGUAGAUCAAUAGCUUGCGUUGUUGCUUUCAUAUGUUUAUUUUGAUAUGUUCCUAGAGAAAAUUGUGUUGAAAGAUGUUAGUAGCAAUGAUGCGGAUUGGAUCCGUGAUCUGAGGUUUAUCCUCAUUGCUGCACAGAAAAAUUAUGUCCUUGAUGCACCGCUAGGUGACAGACCUAUUGCAGGAGCAGAUGCAAACGUUAUGAACGUUUGGCUAGCUCAAUAUGAUGACUAUUUGAUAGCUUAGUGCACCAUGCUUAACGGCUUAGAAUCGGGACUUCAAAGACGUUUUGAACGUCAUGGACCAUAUGAGAUGUUCCAGGAGUUGAAGUUAAUAUUUCAAGCAAAUACCUGAGUUGAGAGAUAUGAAGACUCCAACAAGUUCUAUAGCUAAAAGAUGGAGGAGAAUCGCUCAACUAGUGAGCAUGUGCUCAGAUAGUCUGGGUACUACAAUCGCUUGAAUCAAGUGGGAGUUAAUCUUCCAGAUAAAGUAGUGAUUGACAGAAUUCUCUAGUCACCAUCACCAAGUUAGUAGAACUUUGUGAUGAACUAUAAUAUGCAAGGGAUAACGGAAAUGAUUCCCAAGCUCUUCGUAAUGCUGAAAUUGACGAAGGUAGAAAUCGAGAAAAACAUCAAGUGUUGAUGGUAGACAAGACCACUAGUUUCAAGAAAAAGGGCAAAGGGAAAAAGGGGAACUUCAAGAAGAACGGCAAGCAAGUUGCUGCUCAAGUGAAGAAACCCAAGUCUGGUCCUAAGCAUGAGACUAAGUGCUUCUACUGCAAAGAGAUUGGUCACUGGAAGCGAAACUACCCCAAGUAUUUGGAGGAUAACAAGGAUGACAAAGUGAACAAAGGUAUAUUUGAUAUACAUUAUAUUGAUGUGUACUUCACUAGUGUUUAUAGCAACCCCUCGGUAUUUGGUACUGGUUCAGUUGCUAAGAGUAGUAACUCGAAACAGGAGUUGCAGAAUAAACACAGACUAGUUAAGGGUAAAGUGACGAUGUGUGUUGGAAGUGGUUCCAAGAUUGAUAUGAUCAUCAUCGCACACUCCCUAUACUUUCGGGAUUAGUGUUGAACCUAAAUAAGUGUUAUUUGGUUUUUGCGUUGAGCAUGAAUAUGAUUUGAUCAUGUUUAUUGCAAUACGGUUAUUCAUUUAAAAAUCAGAGAAUAAUUGUUGUUCUGUUUAAAUGAAUAAGACCUUUGAUGGUCAUACACCCAAUGAAAAUAGUUUGUUGGAUCUCGAUCGUAGUGAUACAUAUAUUCAUAAUAUUGAUGCCAAAAGAUGCAAAGUUGAUAAUGAUAGUGCAACUUAUUUGUGGCACUGCUGUUUAGGUCAUAUCGGUGUAAAGCGCAUGAAGAAACUCCAUACUGAUGGACUUUCGGAAUCACUUGAUUAUGAAUCAUUUGAUGCUUGUGAACCGUGCCUUUUGGGCAAGAUGACUAAAACUCCAUUCUUCGGAACAAUGGAACGAGCAACAAACUUGUUGGAAAUAAUACAUACUGAUGUAUGCAGACCAAUGAGUAUUAAGGCUCAUGGCAAGUAUCGUUAUUUUCUGACCUUCACAGAUGAUUUAAGCAGAUAUGGGUAUAUCUACUUGAUGAAACAUAAGUCUGAAAUAGUUGAAAGGUUCAAAGAAUUUCAGAGUGAAGUGGAAAAUCAUCGUAACAAGAAAAUAAAGUUUCUGCGAUCUGAUCGUGGAGAUGAAUAUUUGAGUUACGAGUUUGGUCUUCAAUUAAAACAAUGUGGAAUAGUUUCACAGCUCACGCCACCUGGAACACCACAAUGUUAUGGUGUGUCCGAACGUCGUAACCGCACUUUAUUGGAUAUGGUGCGAUCUAUGAUGUCACUUAUUAAUUUACCAUUGUCGUUUUAGGGUUAUGCAUUAGAGACAGCUGCAUUCACGUUAAAAGGGCACCAUCUAAAUCCGUUGAGACGACACCAUAUGAACUGUGGUUUAGCAAGAAACCCAAGUUGUCGUUUCUUAAAGUUUGGGGCUGUGAUGCUUAUGUAAAAAAAGUUUCAUCCUGAUAAGCUCAAACCCAAAUCGGAGAAGUGCGUCUUCAUAGAAUACCCAAAGGAAACUGUUGGGUACACCUUCUAUCACAGAUCCGAAGGCAAGAUAUUCGUUGCUAAAAACGGAUCCUUUCUAGAGAAGGAGUUUCUCUCGAAAGAAGUGAGUGGGAGAAAAGUAGAACUUGAUGAGGUAACUGUACCUUCUCCCGAAUUGGAAAGUAGUUCAUCACAGAAAUCAGUUCUAGUGAUUCCUACACCAAUUAGUGAGUAAGCUAAUGAUGAUGAUCAUAAAACUUCAGAUCAAGUUACUACCAAACUUUGUAGAUCUUCCAGAUUAAGAUCCGCACCAGAGUGGUAUGGUAAUCCUAUUCUGGAAGUCAUGUUACUAGACCAUGAUGAACCUACGAACUAUGAGGAAGCGAUGAUGAGCCCAGAUUCCGCGAAAUGGCUUGAGGACAUGAAAUCUGAGAUGGGAUCCAUGUAUGAGAACAAAGUGUGGACUUUGGUGGAGUUGCCCGAUGAUCGGCAAGCCAUAUUGUAUAAAUGGAUCUUCAAGAGAAAGACAGACGUUGAUAGUAGUGUUACUAUCUACAAAGCUCGACUUGUCGCAAAAGGUUUUUGACAAGUUCAAGGUGUUGACUACAAUGAGAUUUUCUCAACUGUAGCGAGGCUUAAAGUCUAUCCGAAUCAAGUUAGCAAUUGCCACAUUUUAUGAAAUCAGGCAAAUGGAUGUCAAAACUGGAUUCCUUAAUGGUUUUCUUAAAAGAAGAGUUGUAUAUGAUGCAACCAGAAGGUUUUGUCAAUCCUAAAGGUACUAACAAAAUAUGCAAACUCCAGCGAUCCAUCUAUGGACUGGUGCAAGCAUCUCGGAGUUGGAAUAUACGCUUUGAUAAGUUGAUCAAAGCAUAUAGUUUUACACAGACUUGCGGUGAAGCCUGUAUUUACUAGAAAGUGAGUGGGAGCACUACAACAUUUCUGAUAAGUAUAUGUGAAUGACAUAUUGUAGAUCGGAAAUAAUGUAGAAUUAUUCUGCAAAGCAUAAAGGAGUGUUUGAAAUGAGUUUUUCAAAGAAAGACCUCGGUGAAGCUGCUUACAUAUUGAGCAUCAAGAUCUAUAGAGAUAGAUCAAGACGCUUGAUAAGUUUUUUCAAUGAGUACAUACCUUGACAAGAUUUUGAAGUAGUUCAAAAUGGAACAGUCAAAGAAAGAGUUCUUGCCUGUGUUACAAGGUGUGAAAUUGAGUAAGACUCAAAACCCGACCACGGCAGAAGAUAGAAAGAGAAUGAAAGUCAUUCCCUAUGCCUUGGCCAUAGGUUCUAUAAAGUAUGCCAUGCUGUGUACCAGAUCUAUUGUAUACCCUACACUGAGUUUGGCAAGGGAGUACAAUAGUGAUCUAGGAGUAGAUCACUGGACAGCGGUCAAAAUUAUCCUUAGUGGAAUAAGGAUAUGUUUCUCGAUUAUGGAAGUGACAAAAGGUUCGUCGUAAACGGUUACGUCGAUGAAAGUUUUGCCACUAAUCCAGAUGACUCUAAGUCUCAAUCUGGAUACAUAUUGAAAGUGGGAGCAAUUAGCUAGAGUAGCUCCGUGCAGAGCAUUGUAGACAUAGAAAAUUGCAAAAUACAUAACGGAUCUGAAUGUGAAAGACCCGUUGACUAAGAUUCUCUCACAAGCAAAACAUGAUCACACCUUAGUACUCUUUUGGGUGUUAAUCACAUAGCGAUGUGAACUAGAUUACUGAAUCUAGUAAACCCUUUGGGUGUUGGUCACAUGGCGAUGUGAACUAUGGGUGUUAAUCACAUGAUGAUGUGAACUAUCGAUGUUAAUCACAUGGUGAUGUGAUCUAGAUUAUUGACUCUAGUGCAAGUGGGAGACUGAAGGAAAUAUGCCCUAGAGGCAAUAAUAAAGUUAUUAUUUAUUUCCUUAUUUCAUGAUAAAUGUUAAUUAUUCAUGCUAGAAUUGUAUUAACCGGAAACAUAAUACAUGUGCGAAUGUCACUAGUAUGCCUCUACUUGACUAGCUUGUUAAUCAAAGAUGGUUAUGUUUCCUAACCAUGGACAAAGAGUUGUUAUUUGAUUAACGGGAUCACAUCAUUAGUUGAAUGAUCUGAUUGACAUGACCCAUUCAGUUAGCUUAGCACCCGAUCGUUUAGUAUGUUGCUAUUGCUUUCUUCAUGACUUAUACAUGUUCCUAUGACUAUGAGAUUAUGCAACUCCUGUUUACCGGAGGAACACUUUGUGUGCUACCAAACGUCACAACGUAACCGGGUGAUUAUAAAGGUGCUCUACAGGUGUCUCCGAAGGUACUUGUUGGGUUGGCGUAUUUCGAGAUUAGGAUUUGUCACUCCGAAUGUCGGAGAGGUAUCUCUGGGCCCUCUCGGUAAUGCACAUCACAUAAGCCUUGCAAGCAAUGCAACUAAUGAGUUAGUUGCGAGAUGAUGUAUUACGGAACGAGUAAAGAGACUUACCGGUAACGAGAUUGAACUAGGUAUUGGAUACCGACGAUCGAAUCUCGGGCAAGUAACAUACCGAUGACAAAGGGAACAACGUAUGUUGUUAUGCGGUCUGACCAAUAAAGAUCUUCGUAGAAUAUGUAGGAACCAAUAUGGGCAUCCAGGUCCCGCUAUUGGUUAUUGACCGGAGACGUGUCUCGGUCAUGUCUACAUUGUUCUCGAACCGUAGGGUCCGCACGCUUAAGGUUUCGAUGACAGUUAUAUUAUGAGUUUAUGAGUUUUGAUGUACCGAAGGAGUUCGGAGUCCCGGAUGAGAUCGGGGACAUGACGAGGAGUCUCGAAAUGGUCGAGACGUAAAGAUCGAUAUAUUGGACGACUAUAUUCGGAGUUUGGAAAGGUUCCGAGUGAUUCGGGUAUUUUUCAGAGUACCGGAGAGUUCCCGGAAUUCGCCGGGGAGAAGUAUUGGGCCUUAUUGGGCCGUACGGGAAAGAGAGAGGGGCUGCCUAGGGCAGGACGCGCGCCCCCCCAUGGCCUAGUCCGAAUUGGACUAGGGGAAGGGGCCGCACCCCCUCCUUCCUUCCCUUCUCUCUUCCCCCUCCUUGUCUCCUACUCCUACUACAUGGAAGGGUUCCUAGUUGGACUAGGAAAGGGGGAAUCCUACUCCCGGUGGGAGUAGGACUCCCCUAGGGCGCGCCAUAGAAAGGGCCGGCCCUCCCCUCCUCCACUCCUUUAUAUACGGGGGCAGGGGGCACCCCAUGGACACACAAGUUGAUCUUCGUGAUCGUUCCUUAGCCGUGUGCGGUGCCCCCUCCACGAUAUUACACCUCGGUCAUAUUGUAGCGGUGCUUAGGCGAAGCCCUGCGAUAGUUGAACAUCAAGAUCGUCACCACGCCGUCGUGCUGACGGAACUCCUCCCCGAAGCUUUGCUGGAUCGGAGCUCGGGGUGCGUCAUCGAGUUGUACGUGUGUCAAGAACUCGGAGGUGCCGGAGUAACGGUGCUUGGAUCGGUUGGACCGGGAAGACGUAUGACUACUUCCUCUACGUUGCGUCAACGCUUCCGCUUCGGUCUACGAGGGUACAUAGACAACACUCUCCCCUCUCGUUGCUAUGUAUCACCAUGAUCUUGUGUGUGCGUAGGAAUUUUUUUGAAAUUACUACGUUCCCCACCAUAAACGCAUCAUCCCAAAAUUUUAAGGGCAUGGAGGCUUGGGCAAGGAGAGACAAGCCUACUUCGACUAUAUGUCGAUGUUUUCUUUCUGCUGAUCCGUUCUGUUGAUGCGCAUGGGGACAAGAUACAUGAUGAGAUAUUCCUAUCUUGGUGAAGAAGGAGUUGAGUUUUUCAUACUCCCCUCCCCAAUCUGUCUGAAGAGCAAGAAUUUUCCGAUUAAAUUGUCGUUCAACAAGAUGCUGAAAGUCAUGAAAUUUUUGAAAAACUUCUGACUUGUGUUUGAUCAAAUAGAUCCAUGUGAAUUUACUGAAAUCAUCGAUGAAACUCACAUAAUAUUUUUUUUCUGCCUACUGUUUCAACAGCAAGUCCCCAAACAUCAGAGAAAAUAAGUUCUAAAGGAAACUUGGAUUCACUUAUUGAUUUUGGAUAAGGCAAUUGGUGACUUUUUCCCUUUUGACAGGCGUCACAAACAGAAUCAUUAUUGGAAAAACUAGCACAAGGGAGUUUAUUUUGACUAAGAACUCUCCUGACAAUGAGAGGAGAUGGAUGACCUAAACAUCGGUGCCAUCUAUCCGAAGAUAUUUUGGUGGCACUGAGCAUCUGCUUCUGGACGUUGGAUCCCUUGUGCUUGACGGGGUAUAGACCACAUCUACCCAUGCCUCGAAGGAGUACCUUCCUCGUUCCCCGUUCCUUAACAAGAAAAGAAUGAGGGUGAAUCUCACAAAGAACAUCAUUGUCAAGUGCAAGACGACUAGCAGAUAUUAGGCUUUUGCUAGCUUCUGGAACAUGAAGGAUGUUAUUUAGGUAAAGAUCACGAUCAGGGGUACGAAUAGCUGAAUGACCAACAUGUUCUAUAGCCAUACCUGACCCACUAGCAGUGUGGAUUUGCUCGUUCCCAGUGUAGCGGUCGCGGACAUUCAGCUUCUCAAGGUCUCUUGUGAUGUGAUCGGUGGCGCCGCUGUCAAGAUACCAGUUGGUAUCCACCCCAUAUUGAGGUGCUGCCAGGUUCGCCGUCCUCUCUUCUCCUCCUUGGUAGGCUUCAUCAUAACGUUUCCAGCACUUCCAUGCUGGAUGACCCAGUUUGCCACAAAUCUGGCACUGGAUCCUAGGUGCAGGGGCAUUGUUGUUGUAGUUGUCGCCACCACCAUUGUUGUUGUAGUGGCCGCCUCCUCCUUGUCCACCGCGACCGCCAGACUUGAUGUAGGGGCGGCCAUGGUCACCACCGUUGUUGCCGUUGCCGCCACGGCCACGGCCACGGUCACCACGCCCGCGGCCUCUGGUGGCAGCAUUAGCGGAGGACUGCGACACUCCACCGCGGAGCUUCAUCCGCGUCUCAAAGCUGAUGAGCUGUGAAAACAGCUCAGGGACGGUGAUCGGCUCCACUCUGGAGCACAUGGCGGAGACCACAGGAUCAAACUCCUCGUCCAAGCCAGCAAGGAUGUGAGAGACGAUGUCAUCAUCGUCGAUCUUCUUCCCUGCAGUGACGAGUUCAUCGCACAGAGACUUCACUUUCCCGAUGUAGUCGGUGAUGGAGGAGUUCCCCUUCUGCAGAUUGGCGAGGGUGAUGCGCACGUUGACCGUCUGGGCACGAGUGUGAGAUGCAAGCAUCUCUGCAAUCGUGUUCCAGAGUUCUGCCGACGUGUGACAAGUAGCGACCUGGAUGGCCAUCUCACGGGGCAGAGUUGUCAGAAGGUAAGAAAAGACUUGCUGAUCUUGAGCAUACCAGGUCUGGAACUCCGGGUUGGGCUUCGUCGUCUUGGUUUUGCCGUCAGACGAGGAUACUUCAAGGUGCAUGGGUGGCACCGGGUGAUCGACGUCGAGGUACUGCUCCAUGCGGGCACCUCUGAUCGCCGACAGAACUGUCGCCCGCCAUAGGGCUUGGUUGUUCUUGCUGAGCUUCUCGGAGACGGCGUGCACAAACGGAGAGGAUGGGAAGGAGUUUGAAGGUGUCGCCAUGGAUGAUCUAGAGAAGUGCUCUGAUUACCAUGUAAAAACUAGAAUUGGCUGCGUUAAGCGUGUUGCCUCUUGGCAGGGACGCCUUCGUGUUUAUAUAGACAUGAGGAUUACAAGAUAUGGUGCAGGUAGUUAGUUCGGGUAUCAACUUGUCCUCUACUCCAAGCUACAUACAAGAUAGAGAUUAUCCUAGCUAACAACCUGCGCCUCAAUACGUUACAUACGUUACAUUGUCACGAUACAACUACGACCCUACUCUUUUAACAUGGGUAACCGAUUGGUGCCACAUUUGGAGCAAAUCACACCGCAACACCAUUUUUUAGGCACGCGUGUAACAACUCGAGCUUAUGCGAGAAUCGGUGUGAUUUGCCAGGUCUAAAAAUGGCAGUGUAAUGUGAUUGUUUCUAAAGAUGGCACCAAUCAGUUACCUUAGCACCAAAUGUGGUGAUUUUAUGCAAUCUCGUCUCCCGAAGACACUAUUACUUAAACAUAAGUUGUUGUGACCCCUAAGUGGAAGGGAUGAUGUAGUGCAGUAGCAAAUAUUUUUCUCAGUUGAGAAUAAGAUUUUUAUCAAACCAGUAGCAACAAUGGGUAUCACAGUUAAUGAUACAUCAUUAACAAUUCUGCUCCUCGUAAUUACAAGAAUUAUCG
rnacentral:lncRNA from 1 species